AAAAUUUCCCACCAAGAUUGGCUUUGGACUCCCAACUUGCUGUCAACAAAUAUGGAGCUGGAAAGGGACAUGCUGCCACAGGUGCAAAAGAUUUGCUGAAUUAUUUCAGAGUGCUUGACGGCUGUGUCCAGGACAUCUUGUUUCAGGUCAGUGGAAACUGUCCUUUUGUUCAACCUUAAAGAGUUAGGAGCUUUUUUUUUUUUUUUUUUU